UUGUGAGAAAUCCUUUGCCUUAUC
rnacentral:siRNA from 1 species